AGCCGCGGUAACACGUAGGGGGCGAGCGUUGUCCGGAAUCACUGGGCGUAAAGGGCGUGUAGGCGGCUGAUAAAGUCAGGUGUGAAAUGCCUCGGCUCAACCGAGGACUAGCACAUGAAACUAAUUAGCUUGAGUGCAGGAGAGGGGAGCGGAAUUCCCGGUGUAGCGGUGAAAUGCGUAGAUAUCGGGAAGAACACCGGUGGCGAAGGCGGUUCUCUGGACUGUAACUGACGCUGAGGCGCGAAAGCUGGGGUAGCGAACGGGAUUAGAUACCCCGGUAGUCCCAGCCGUAAACUAUGGGUACUAGGUGUUGGCAGUCGACCUGUCAGUGCCGUAGCAAACGCAUUAAGUAUCCCGCCUGGGGAGUACGGCCGCAAGGCUGAAACUCAAAGGAAUUGACGGGGGCCCGCACAAGCAGUGGAGCAUGUGGUUUAAUUCGAAGCAACGCGAAGAACCUUACCGGGGAUUGACAUCUUGACGAACCUGGUAGAAAUACCGGGGUGCCUUCGGGAGCGUCAAGACAGGUGGUGCAUGGCC
rnacentral:rRNA from 1 species